GUCUACGGCCAUGCCACCCUGAACAAACCGCAUCCUGUCUGAUCUCGUAAGUUAAGCAGGGGUGGGCCUGGUUAGUACUUGGAUGGGAAACCACCUAGGAAGACCAGGUGCUGUAGGUG
rnacentral:rRNA from 1 species